CUACGUGCCAGCAGCCGCGGUAAUACGAAGGGUGCAAGCAUUGUUCGGUUUUACUGGGCGUAAAGCGUAUGUAGGUGGAUUUAUAAGUUAGAUGUGAAAGCCCAAGGCUUAACCUUGGAAUUGCAUUUGAAACUAUAAAUCUAGGUGGUAAUAGAGGAUAACGGAACUCCGAGUGUAGAGGUGGAAUUCGUAGAUAUUCGGAAGAACAUCAGUGGCGAAAGCGGUUAUCUAGAUUAUUUAUGACACUGAGAUACGAAAGCAUGGGGAGCAAACAGGAUUAGAUACCCUGGUAGUCCACGCCGUAAACGAUGAGUGCUAGGUGUUAGACCCUUUCCGGGGUUUAGUGCCGUAGCUAACGCAUUAAGCACUCCGCCUGGGGAGUACGACCGCAAGGUUGAAACUCAAAGGAAUUGACGGGGGCCCGCACAAGCGGUGGAGCAUGUGGUUUAAUUCGAAGCAACGCGAAGAACCUUACCAGGUCUUGACAUCCCUCUGACCGCUCUAGAGAUAGAGCUUUC
rnacentral:rRNA from 1 species